rnacentral:misc_RNA from 1 species
UGAUUACGUCCCUGCCCUUUGUACACACCGCCCGUCGCUGCCCGGGACUGGGUUACCUCGAGAAAACUAGGGAUCGUCGUUGUUCAAUGUUUCGGUAUUGACUUUGGUGAGAACGAGUUUAAUCGCGGUGGCCUGAACCGGGCAAAAGUCGUAACAAGGUAGCCGUAGGUGAACCUUCGGCUGGAUCAUUACCGCUAACGACUAUAAAUUUUUGGUGAACCGAAAGGUUCUCCAAAAAACUUCCGUUCUGGACUGCAUGUUUCUUUCGGGAGACUUGUGGUUCGGGAUGAAGAGAGAUGACCUAACGGCUUGGCUAGGAUUCUAGGUUUCGGAAGAGCAGUUGUGUUACACGACCGUGGCUGUGUUGACUCCGAUUCGGCAGCGGUUCAUUAGGACCGUAGAAUUAAUGACUCCGAGAGGGCGCCUAGCGAAUUUUUCAUUUUUCAUUUUUUUUCAAUGAACAAGAAUUAAGUUGUAUCGAUGGAUCACUUGGUUCGUGGGUCGAUGAAGAUCGCAGUGAAUUGCGAUAAUAAAUAUGAAUUACAGAUAUUUAGAAUACAAUGUUAUCGAAUGCAUAUUGCGCCGAUGGGUUCUUGCCCUUCGGCGUGUACGAUUCAGGGUGUUUUCUCACAAAACACUUCACUUAUAACUGCGAGAGUGUAUUGUUUAUAGCGAUUGGGCCGUCAAUCGUUGUCUAGGCCAAAUGCUUUGUCAUGAUAUUCGUGACGUAUGAGCGUUUGACGAACAAUAAUGAGCCCCGUAUUCCAAACAAGUGGUUAAUAUUUCAUGCCGUUUUCAUUCGUAAUCAAUGUUGCUUUAUGACAAGAUAUUGAGCGUAAAGUAAUGUGGAGGGAAUGGAGGAUAGAAUGGCAUGGAAUAGAGCUCUCUCGCAAGAGAUUGAGCUACGCUUGGCGGUGUCUUAUUUUGAUUAAACCACCUGAAUUGUGCAAGAUCACCUGCUGAACUUAAGCAUAUCAGUAAGCAGAGGAAAAGAAACAAACAUGGAUUUCCUUAGUAACGGCG